rnacentral:rRNA from 1 species
UACGUAGGGGGCGAGCGUUGUCCGGAUUUAUUGGGCGUAAAGAGCUCGUAGGCGGCUUGGCAAGUCGGGUGUGAAACCUCCAGGCUCAACCUGGAGACGCCACUCGAUACUGCUAUGGCUAGAGUCCGGUAGGGGACCACGGAAUUCCUGGUGUAGCGGUGAAAUGCGCAGAUAUCAGGAGGAACACCGGUGGCGAAGGCGGGUCUCUGGGCCGAUACUGACGCUGAGGAGCGAAAGCGUGGGGAGCAAACAGG